rnacentral:rRNA from 1 species
CAGCAGCCGCGGGAAUACAGAGGGUGCGAGCGUUAAUCGGAUUUACUGGGCGUAAAGCGUGCGUAGGCGGCUUCUUAAGUCGGAUGUGAAAUCCCUGAGCUUAACUUAGGAAUUGCAUUCGAUACUGGGAAGCUAGAGUAUGGGAGAGGAUGGUAGAAUUCCAGGUGUAGCGGUGAAAUGCGUAGAGAUCUGGAGGAAUACCGAUGGCGAAGGCAGCCAUCUGGCCUAAUUCUGACGCUGAGGUACGAAAGCAUGGGGAGCAAACAGGAUUAGAUACCCGUGUAGUCCCUGUCUCUUAUAC